GACCUAUGUGCAGGAAGUGUGCAUAUUGGGUGCAAUUGGUUGUAGUUUUAGUGAAUUAUAAUUUUUAUGAAGUAAAAUAAAGCCAACUUUAUAUUGCAUGCCUUGUCACAAUGUCACCCUCCACACUGAAAACAACAAAAGACCAAAA